UACGGCCACGUCAAGUUGAAACAGCACUUCCCACACGAUCACCAAGGUUAAGCAAUGUUGAGCCUGGUCAGUAGCUAGAUGGGUGACCGCUUGGGAAUACUAAGUGCUGUAA